GGCGGAAAGGAAAGCGAAAGCUCAGAGAAGGAAGCACUCCAGCCGUAGAAGUAGUCUGGCCCAGCUUCUUCGAUAUUGAUGUGGAGUCGUUGCAACUUUUGUGCGGUACUCCACAGAGAUCACAGCCUCAGACUGAGCUCGUGUGCCUCUUGGCUCAGAAGUUAAGCCCAACUGUAGUCACUGUAGAUUCUUCAGCUGUGUGUUUCAACAACCGUACAUUGUUGCAAUGUAGGUUAUAUAAGCCUGUGAGGAGAAGAACACCCUCGGCCUGUGUUUUAUGAGGGUGCCACUGGAGACAAGGCUUGCAUGGAUGAAGAAGAUUCAGACAUUGCUGGACUUCCUGCACUCUGGCUCUCCAGUUCUCCAACAGCUGAUGAAGAAUCAUUACUUAAAUGAUCACUUUCCCCUGACCCAUUUUCUAUAGAUUUUAGAUUAGUCAACUGUUGACAGUUCAUGACAGAAUCAAUCAUUUUCAUUUGAUUUUCCAGAGCGGCAAUGCUAGAAAUUACAGAUGGAGGAGAAGGUGGACAUGAUGUGGAAUAAGGUAUAAGUGGUUUGGAGGAGUCGCUUGCUGUGUCUUUUAACUCUGGGUCCUCCUCCAUAGAAUUUUCAUCAAUAUCAUCAUCAUAGUUGCUCAGUGUUUCUGCAUUCUUUUCAUCAAAGGAAAGCUCUGAGUCCAUGGCAUCUUGGAAGCCCUCUGGUAAUGGUGUGUUUGGAAUUUGUCCACCCAUGUGCAUACGAAUAUGCUGCUGAAGAACAACAGCAUUUGUAAAUUUCUUCUGACAAAUAGGACACGAAUGCUGUACUCUAAGUGGUGGCUUCGCUCGAUGAACUCCAAAAUGUGUUUUUAGAUUGCCUUUUGUAGUAAAUGCACGUCCACAAA